rnacentral:rRNA from 1 species
AGUGAACGCUGGCGGCAGGCCUAACACAUGCAAGUCGAGCGGCAGCGCGGGGGCAACCCUGGCGGCGAGCGGCGGACGGGUGAGGAAUUCGUCGGAAUCUGCCUUUUUGUGGGGGAUAACGUAGGGAAACUUACGCUAAUACCGCAUACGUCCUACGGGAGAAAGUGGGGGACCGCAAGGCCUCACGCAGAAAGAUGAGCCGACGACCGAUUAGCUAGUUGGUGGGGUAAAGGCCCACCAAGGCGACGAUCGGUAGCUGGUCUGAGAGGAUGAUCAGCCACACUGGGACUGAGACACGGCCCAGACUCCUACGGGAGGCAGCAGUGGGGAAUAUUGGACAAUGGGCGCAAGCCUGAUCCAGCCAUGCCGUGUGUGUGAAGAAGGCCUUCGGGUUGUAAAGCACUUUUGUCCGGAAAGAAAUCCCUGGAGCUAAUACCUUCGGGGGAUGACGGUACCGGAAGAAUAAGCACCGGCUAACUUCGUG